rnacentral:rRNA from 1 species
AAUUGACGGGACCGCACAAGCGGUGGAUGAUGUGGUUUAAUUCGAUGCAACGCGAAAACCUUACCCACCUUUGACAUGUACGAACCUUUAGAGAUAGAGGGGUGCUCGAAAGAGAGCCGUAACACAGGUGCUGCAUGGCUGUCGUCAGCUCGUGUCGUGAGAUGUUGGGUUAAGUCCCGCAACGAGCGCAACCCUUGUCAUUAGUUGCUACAUUCAGUUGGGCACUCUAAUGAGACUGCCGGUGACAAGCCGGAGGAAGGUGGGGAUGACGUCAAGUCCUCAUGGCCCUUAUAGGUGGGGCUACACACGUCAUACAAUGGCUGGUACAAAGGGUUGCCAACCCGCGAGGGGGAGCCAAUCCCAUAAAGCCAGUCGUAGUCCGGAUCGUAGUCUGCAACUCGACUGCGUGAAGUCGGAAUCGCUAGUAAUCGUGGAUCAGCAUGUCACGGUGAAUACGUUCCCGGGUCUU